AACGAACGCUGGCGGCAUGCCUAACACAUGCAAGUCGAACGAGACCUUCGGGUCUAGUGGCGCACGGGUGCGUAACGCGUGGGAACCUUCCCUUAUGUUCGGAAUAACUCCCCGAAAGGGGUGCUAAUACCGGAUAAUGUCUUCGGACCAAAGAUUUAUCGCCUUUGGAUGGGCCCGCGUUGGAUUAGCUAGUUGGUAGGGUAAAAGCCUACCAAGGCGACGAUCCAUAGCUGGUCUGAGAGGAUGAUUAGCCACACUGGGACUGGGACACGGCCCAGACUCCUACGGGAUGCAGCAGUGGGGAAUAUUGGACAGUGGGCGAAGGCCUGAUCCAGCAAUGCCGGGUGAGUGAUGAAGGCCUUAGGGUUGUAAAGCUCUUUUAACCGGGAUGAUAAUGACAGUACCGGGAGAAUAAGCUCCGGCUAACUCCGUG
rnacentral:rRNA from 1 species